GGAUUUAUGAUGAGCUGUGUCUACUGAGCAUGGUGAAGUGAAGCUCAAUAUAAUUACUCUGAAGUCC
rnacentral:snoRNA from 1 species